GUAGCAAAAUCAUUUGUUUUUUAAUUGAAAACUGGAAUGAAAGAUUGAACAAAAAAUUUUUAUUUACUAGAGUUUAUUAAAAUUUAUAUUUUAUGUAAAAAUACAUAAAUUAAUAAAAGGGACGAUAAGACCCUAAAAGCUUUAUUAUUGCUUAUUUUUUUUUAUUGUUAAAAUUUAUAAGAUAUAGUAAAUAUUUUGGCUGGGGUAGUGGUUUUUAUUACAAAAAUUUUUUGUACGAUUUGGAAAAAAGGGCCUUUAAAUAAGGAUAAUUAGUUUAAGUUACUUUAGGGAUAACAGCGUAAUAAUAACAGGGAGACCUUAUUUAUGUUAUUGAUUUUGACCUCGAUGUUGAAUUAAGUGUCUUUAUAAAGCAAAAAUUAUAAUUGAAAGUUUGUUCAACUUUUAAAAACUU
rnacentral:rRNA from 1 species